GAAGGCUUUGGGUGCUGAGAUGUGCAGUUGUAACGUGUAGCAUGGAGACCAUUUUAGUGAUCUAGCUGGCUCUUCUUAAAUUAUGGGAGUCCUGGCCGUACAUGUAGGUGAGGACGCCACCUUUCCCACCUACGUGAGAAGGGAACUCCAGUACCAUUGUGGGAGGAAGAUUCACACAGACGGAAGUUAAUGAAUAAUGUGAAGAAAUGUCACACAUGUCCAGUGAGAAGAAAUGAUGUGUGCUACAGGACUUCAACUGAGGAAGGGAUGCCUGCGUGGUCAGAGGAGGCUCAUGGAAAAGCUAAACAGAACAACCUCUAAUUUUCCUGCACAGCCCUGCCCUUCAGAGGUUUUUUUUUUUUUUUUUUUUUUUUUUUUUUGACAAAGACUUGCUCUGUUGCCCAGCCUGGAGUGCAGUGGCAGGAUCUCAGUUUACUGCAAUCUCUGCCUCCCAGGUUCAAGCAAUUCUCAUGCCUCAGCCUCCUGAGUAGCUGGGACUACAAGUGUGCACCACCAUGCCUGCCUAAUUUUUGUAUUUUUAGUAGAGACAGGAUUUUGCCAUGUUGGCCAGGCUGGUCUCAAACUCCUGACCUCAAGUGAACUGCUUGCUUUGGCCUCCCAAAGUGCUAGGAUUACAGGCGUGAGCCACCAUGCCUGGCCUCUUCAGCGUUCUAAAGGCUGUUGUGCUGCUCCUCUCAGCCUUCUACUUUCCUUGAUGAUGAUCCCCUUUCCUUUUGCUCAAGUCACAGCCCUCCGGUACCUGCAGUGUGCUCGGUGUUCUCUGGGUGAGUUCCAGUUCAUCACUCUCUCUCUUACAAAGAUGCACUCAAAACUCAACAGGCUUCCAUCCCUGGGUGGUCUGACAGGACCUGGGCAGCAAAACUGCACUGCUGUCUGGGUCAUAUACUAAACUCUUCAGCGAUGCUAUCCAAGAUUGCAUUUGCGUUUUGACAACUUUAAAGGCUGCAGUUAUAAGUAGCAAGAAGAUUUAGAGCUCUUCAGGGUCUGCUAGAACAUUGCCCUGACUCUUUCCCAGAUGUCUACAGAGAUUUUUGGGCUCCCUUUCCUCAAGGUUUCCUCGCUCAGGCAGCUUGGAGCUGCAUAUCAACCGAAUAUCGCACGUGUCAGAGCCAGCUCUCUUCCUUCAUGGACUUGUGUAUGUCAGCCUGGGUUGUAGAACUAAAAUAUAUACCAGGAAUAGUCUACAGUGAUGAUAAUGAAAUCACUGGGAGCUUUUAAAGCUAUGCAAGCUGACCUGGAUGAUUCUGAUAGGCCUCUUAGAAUCUGGGCAUAUAUAGUUUGUACAAGCUCCCCAGGUAACUUACUAAGCUAUUGUCCCCACCUUGAGAUUCACUGCUCUGCAGCUUCUGUUUGUUGAAAUAGGAGCUUUCCUACCUAGGUACUAAAAAUCCACCUGCAGAUGGACCAGAUGUUGUUAUAAAUCCCCUGAAGCAUCUGAAUCUUUGCAAUGGCUCUAAAGCCUCGGCUCUUUCCAAGGACAAGUGGCAUUGCCAGUCCUCCAAUCUCUGUGAUUUAUAUUUGCUUCUCCCCUUUUAUUAGCCCCCUUCCUGGCAAAAAACGCCACCUUUUGCCAGAUGCCUGGAGCCUGGGUGGGCUGCCUGGCAAUGCAGGCCUUUCUGUCUCCCCCAUCAACCCCAUUCAGGUCCAUCCCAGGAGGGGAAUCUCUCACUUUUCAAAGAAUAAAUCUGUCAAAGAGGCAACAUUUCCAGAGCAGUAAAUCUUGGCUGUGUGUGGCAGCAUGGCUGUGUGCAUAUAGCUGAAAUCUGUGCCCUGUGUGUAUAUCUGUGUGUCUGAGAGAAGAGAGCCAUGCUGAUAGCAUUACAGGAGAGGGCCUUUUAAUUUCAAAAGAGUCAAGAUCACAAGAGGGAAGAACAUGCUCAGGGAAGCAAGUGGGGCACCAAACUGCUGGGAGAAAUGGGCUAGAGCUGAAGGAAGAGGCAUGCUGGGCAGAAAGUGUUCCCACAGUUUGGUUUGCUGCCCAGGACUAGCAGAGAGAAGGAGAUGAUGCAUAAGAGUACAAUUCCACAGUAGCCACAGACCGUCAGAAGGAGGCCCCCCCGCUUCCUUGGUAAGGUCUCUCUGAUGCUUUUUGGGGUGGUGGAAGAGACUCCUGGCCUCCUCUCACCAUUCAGCAACUGGGUUUUGUUUUCUUAAACACAACAUUAUAUUUCCUCUAUCCUGUCCAGAAGAAAUGGCCAGAAGAGAGCCCUGGAGAAGAAUCUCAAUCGAGUUUAACUCUCCAAAGAGUUUCCUGAAAAGUUGUGAAUGAAAAUAAAACCCUUUCAACCAACAAACAGUGAAUUCACUAACCAACCCCAAACAGAAACCAGAUUCGUGGAGAUGGUAAAAUCUCUGGGCUGAAAUCUAGCUUAUUGGCUCUAGUUCUGGGAGGUGUGAAUGGGAUUGGGAGAUGGGGAGUGGCAGAGGUUGGUUGGAGGAUGAAGCUAAUUAUGACAGAGGGUCUCUCAUAGGACCACAGCAUUGCUAAUACGUGAGGACCACCCUUGAUCUUUCAUGAUUGGGGAUAGAGGAACAGAGUGUAUAGCUAAAAUCCACGAAGUCCUUCAUCUUUAUUGUAGCCAUUUUCCCUCUAAAUUACUUAAGGAGAAAUAAAAAAUCAAUAUGGUGAAAUAAUCUCCAUAGAAAUCAUGGGUCUGGGUGUUUAGUCAGGUCUGGGGAGAUAUCAAGGCAGUAUUAAUGUACAUAGUCUGAAAAAGAGUCUGUCUUCUUUUAAUGAUGAGUGGAAUAUUACUGCUAGAUUGAGGGUUAGGGGGAGGUGGGUGGAAAGAAGGACAGAGGGCUCACAGGAGGGAAGAAUAAGGAUUCAUUGUGGGGUUGAUUACGAUGGAGAAAAUAUGGUUCAGAGAUAGAAUGAAAGCACAAAAGGGAAGCAGGGCAUGCUGCCGGAGCUGGGAAGAGGCAGACAGGCCCUAACUGGGUGUGUCCAGUGACAGAGAAUCCCAUCUAGGUCAGCCAGGUAGGCCACUGCCUGUGCCAAGGAUUUUAACUUGGAGGCAAAGGUGAGUAGAAUUCAGGGUCUGAAGCAAAAGUCCUCACUUCUCCAGGGACAGAAGAAGCGGGCACAGGGAGAAGUGGUGAAUGAGGUGGACUGUGACUCCCCAAAACUACAACUUGGAGGAGAACUCGUGGGCUGGAAAAGAGGUGACACAGGAAACUCCUGAAAGAGUUUGUUUAAUGCUUUAAACCUGUACUAUGUUGGUUAAGUCAUGUGAUAUCAUAGGUAUUAUGACUUCGUCUCACUUGAACAGAAUUUUUGCCCUAGAUUCUGAGCAUGUCAUGCUGAGAAUGCACAUAGAGAAAGCUAUGAGAGAUCUCACUUCAAGCACAUUAUCUAUGAAAGUGCAUCAACACUCAAACUUCCUUAGCACCUCUAUCCCCUUUUGAUCUUUGGGUGAUGGUAAAAUGGUGUCCAAGGUAAGCCUCAUCUUUUAUUUCAACUAAAGCAUUUUCAAAGCUGGCAUGACAUUGCUAGAUUUGGUGGUAUGAGCCUCAUCUCGCAUUACUUCUUUUCUUUUCACAUAGAAAAAGUGCUAGUGAACAUAAAUAUAGUCAACACCCAGUAUGCUCACUUAUUGAAACACCGUGUAAGUGCCAGGCACUGCAUUAGGCUAGUGUGGACAGAGUAGAGAUGCGUGAGACAAACAUAUAAAGACAGCAAACAAUGCCAGGCAGGCCCCAAAAUGGCCGAAGUUGGCUGGGUUAAUCCUAAAUUAAACAAAACUUUAUUAACGACAUCAUAAACAGGAAAGUUACUACUUAGCUCCGUGCAAUUAUGGCCCCAUGAGAAGGCAGGACCAAUUAUUCAAGAGAAACUGGAAUAGUGUCCAGUUGAAAAUCACCUCAGGGUUCAUUCACUCAUUUAGCAAGUAGUUACCAAACGCUUACCAUAUGCCAGUCCUUGGGGUACAGUGGUCAACAAGACACAUUAGGUCCCUGUCUUCCUGGAACUCAGUAUUUCCAGAUGGGGAUAGUGCUGUGAAGGAAAUGAAACAGGGUGAGGCAAGCGGGCAUGUGUAGGGUGGCCUCUCUGGAGGGGUGUGUGACAUGCUUGAUGAGAAGAAGCCUAUUGUAUGCAGAUCUGGAGGAAACAACAUUUUAGGCAGGGGGAAAAGAAACGUUGGUGGGGUGGGUGGUGGACAAGAAAGCAGGGUGGGAAAUUCAAGUGGGUGUUGGAGUUCAAAAAGACAUCUGUCAUAUGUGACAACAUGGACGAACCUGGAGGACACUACGGUAAGUGAAAUAAGCCAAGCACAGGAAGACAAAUACCACCUGAUCUAACUUAUAUGUGGAAUCUAAAAAAGUUGAACUCACAGAAGUAAAGAGUAGAAAGGUGGUUACUAGAGGCUUGGGGGAUGGGAUGGGAGAGUUGGUCAAAGGAUACACAUUUUCAGUUAGGAGGAAUAAGCUUUGAUGAUUCAUUACACAGGUGGUGACUAUCGUAAAUAAUAAUGCAUUCUAUAUCUCAAAAUUUAAAUGUCUUGGCCACAAAAAAAUGGUAUGCGAGGAGGUGGAUUUGUUAAUUAGCCUGCUUUACUCAUUCCACAUUACAAACAUAUAUCAUAACAUCAUAUGGUUCCCCAUAAUUAUUAGUGCUGAAUUAAAAGUUAAAAUUUGGAAAAAAGUCACCUUCUGUCCACCAUUCCUAUCAUGAUUUUAAGGUAUUUCUGGUCUUCUUCAAGUGUCUCCUGGAGGCUAAAGGUGUACAUGGUAUUUUCCCAUUGCAAUGCAGCAGCGCAGCAGAAGGGGGAGCUGACACAAGCCUUCCCAGGUCUGAACCAACUUCUCUCAAGCGUGUGAAGCCUUUCUUUAUGUAGCCAGUCUCCACCCAGGGCUCAGUAGGCUUAGGGAAAUGGGAGGCGGAAGGGCACCUCACAGUGUACUCAACCCUUCUGAAUUGGAUUUUGUGAGCUGUGUAUGUCAGGUUCCGAUGUGAGGCCUGGCGCUGUGGAGGUUCCAAUGGCCGCCAUGUUGUCUCAGAGGGACACACCACAGGCUUCUGGAACUCUGGCUCCAUUUUGUGGGUGCAAGUUUCUGGCUUCCGUUUUAAAGAGCAAGAGAACCUAUCAGCGUUGUCAAUUCUAAGAAAGUGAGUGCCAAGAGCAGGUAGGUAUGUUUAAGGCAUAAAGUUUCUUACUGAUAAUUCCAUUCUUUUUAAAUUUAAAAUAAAAAAAUAGAUUUGUAUCAAGAAAUGAAUUAGUAUAAUUUGAAUCUUCACUAAUAGUAUAUAUUAUUUUUGAAAUGCAGAAAAUUUGUUGUUGAAAUUAAACAGCCUCUGACAAUUGAACAGUUAAUGAUUGCAUCAUAUUAAUCAUGAGGGGUGAGGACAGAAUUAUCAGGGUUUUGCCAGGGGCACUGGAUUCUGAACCUUUUUAAAUUAAAAAAACAAAGUACUACACAUGUAUAUAAUUAAUAUUGAAACAUCUGUAAUACAAAGCUGCAUAUAUUUGGUAGACAUCAUAUGUUUGAAAUCCAUCAUUAAUUUCUUCUCUUCUGGUAGCAGUUCUCCACAUUUCCUAUAGGAAAAUGCCCCUCAUCCAUUCCAAACCAUGCAGUUUCAUUUGGGUGGCUCCAUCCUUGGCUCCAGGGCUAUACCUGAUUGGCUUAAGUAAACAGGCAGCUUGCCAUCUCCCAGCCAUAGUGACUGGUUAAGGGAUGGUGAUGUAAUCCAUUUAGAGCCAAUGGGAAUCAGGGUGACAUUUGCUGGAAAUUCUGGGGAAAUGACCUUGUCUCUCUUCCUCUGAAUUGAGUCGUAGAAGAUGUAAGCUUGGUGCCCCUGUGGUCCUGCCAUAGUGAGGCAAGCCCAGUGAGGAAGGGUCUGGAAAAACAGAGCCAGAAAUGUAGAAAAACUGGGCCCACAAUGCUUAGAUCAAACAUGGCAGAAGCCAGCCAUAUUCUUGGAUUUUGAGAUCCAUGAGCCAACACAUCCCUUUUUCCUGUUUUAGCCAGUUUUUUGUGUGUUGGUUUGUUUUGUUUUUGGUCACUGGCAACUCAAGGAAUCCUCAAAGUCAGAGAUCUUAUUGCCAAAAUCAUGAUGAAUAAGAUUUAGCCUAUACUUAGAUGAUUCAGAAGGCCCUUUGGGAACUUGGAAGUGUCAUUGCUUGUAUUAACAAUAUUUUCUUAAUAAGCAACUUCAGCAAAGUCUCAGGAUACAAAAUCAAUGUGCAAAAAUCACAAGCAUUCUUAUACACCAGUAACAGAGAGCCAAAUCAUGAGUGAACUCCCAUUCACAAUUGCUUCAAAAAGAAUAAAAUACCUAGGAGUCCAACUUACAAGGGAUGUGAAGGACCUCUUCAAGGAGAACUACAAACCACUGCUCAGCGAAAUAAAAGAGGAUACAAACAAAUGGAAGAACAUUCCAUGUUCAUGGAUAGGAAGAAUCAAUAUUGUGAAAAUGGCCAUACUGCCCAAGGUAAUUUAUAGAUUCAAUGCCAU
rnacentral:lncRNA from 10 species